GGGAAAGUUGCAAAGCACUUUGAAGAGAGAGUUAAAGAGGACGUGAAACCGAUGAGAUCGAAACGGAUAGAGUCAGCGUAUCUGACCUGUAUUCAGUCACACAUCUGUCAGUCGUCAUGUGUUGAUUUCCAGACUGGGACAGUGUGUGGCUAGCUGAUUGUUGUGUGGUGCAUUUGCAGGUGGAGUGCGUCGAGACGCUCGGUGUGGCGACAUGAGCUCAGUUUUGAGGCCAGCUUGCUGGUACCCGAAUUGGAGGAAUGUUGUUCACGCUGAGUGGAAUUGGCAAGGCCUACGAGUCCGGUUGGGCAUCGAGCUGGCAGUCGGCGUCGGUCGCAUGCGACACGUGCUGUGCAGUCAGUUCGGUCCUAGUCGAGCUCACAAGCCUAUUCUCGGCGUAAAAGCUGGUCAUCUAUCCGACCCGUCUUGAAACACGGACCAAGGAGUUUAUCGUGUGCGCAAGUCAUUGGGCGUUGAAAACCCAAAGGCGCAAUGAAAGUGAACGCAUCCGCAAGGAGCUGACGUGCGAUCCCGGGUACUGCGGUGCCCGAGCGCAGCAUGGCCCCAUCCCGAUUGCUUGCAAUGGGGUGGAGGAAGAGCGUACGCGGUGAGACCCGAAAGAUGGUGAACUAUUCCUGAGCAGGAUGAAGCCAGAGGAAACUCUGGUGGAAGUCCGAAGCGAUUCUGACGUGCAAAUCGAUCGUCUGACUUGGGUAUAGGGGCGAAAGACUAAUCGAACCAUCUAGU
rnacentral:rRNA from 1 species